CAAACACCACAGCGUUCUCCAACCACACAUGACUUUGGCACAAUAAAUAGAAGGGAAAGGACAAAAAUAGCCCCCAGGGUUGCAGUGUGGACAGAGAGAGGAAGCAGGGCUGUUUCAGGGCCGGGGGGUUUGCUCUCCCGACCCACCCCGAAGCCCUGAGUCACGGCCUGAGGGUGUAGGUGGCUGCAUAUCUUGGAAGACCCAGGAGUCCUGCCUCCUACCUGCUGGCAUAGGGCAAGGGAAAGCAAUUUCCACCGUCAAGAGGCUGCGUACCAGCUGUACAAAGCCAUCAGCCUGGUGUGGGAAGGGAGUUACUCAGCAUUUGGUUCCCAAGAGAAAAAAAAAAAAAAAUACAGCUCUAACUGACUUUCCAAAAUACUUUGAGGUUCAUAGUAA